AACGAACGCUGGCGGCAGGCUUAACACAUGCAAGUCGAACGAGUGUAGUAAUACACUAGUGGCGCACGGGUGCGUAACGCGUGGGAACCUUCCUCGUAGUUCGGAAUAACUCAGGGAAACUUGGGCUAAUACCGAAUGCCUCCUUCGGGAGAAAGAUUUAUCGCUACGAGAUGGGGCCCGCGUCAGAUUAGGUAGUUGGUAGGGUAAUGGCCUACCAAGCCGACGAUCUGUAGCUGGGUCNGAGAGGAUGAUCAGCCACACUGGGACUGAGACACGGCCCAGACUCCUACGGGAGGCAGCAGUGGGG
rnacentral:rRNA from 1 species